GUGUCAGCAGCCGCGGUAAUACGUAGGGUCCAAGCGUUAUCCGGAAUCACUGGGCGUAAAGCGUGCGUAGGUGGCGCGUUAAGUGAGAUGUUAAAUCGUGUGGCUCAACCAUAUCGAUGCAUCUCAUACUGGCGUGCUAGAGGACAGCAGAGGCAAGUGGAAUUUGUAGUGUAGCAGUGAAAUGCGUAGAUAUUACAAGGAACACCAAUGGCGAAGGCAGCUUGCUGGGCUACUCCUGACACUGAGGUACGAAAGCGUGGGGAGCGAACAGGAUUAGAAACCCCGGUAGUCC
rnacentral:rRNA from 1 species